AUUGAACGCUGGCGGAAGGCUUAACACAUGCAAGUCGAGCGAGCAGCGGACGGGUGAGUAAUUUCUGGGAAACUGCCUGAUGUAGGGGGAUAACUACUGGAAACGGUAGCUAAUACCGCAUACCAUCAUAUGUGCCCAGAUGGGAUGAGCUAGUGGGUUGUGUAAUGGCUCACCUAAGCGACGAUCCCUAGCUGGUCGGAGAGUAUGACCAGCCACACUGGAACUGAGACACGGUCCAGACGCCUAAGGGAGGGAGCAGUGGGGAAUAUUGCACAAGGGGAGCAAGCCUGAUGCAGCCAUGCCGCGUGUGUGAAGAAGGCCUUCGGGGGGGAAAGCACGUUCAGCGAGGAGGCGUUACUCGCAGAAGAAGCACCGGAUAACUCCGUGCCAGCCGCCGCGGUAAUUC
rnacentral:rRNA from 1 species